AGAGUUUGAUCCUGGCUCAGAAUCAACGCUGGCGGCGUGCCUAACACAUGCAAGUCGAACGAGAAAGUGGGGGCAACUCCAUGAGUAAAGUGGCAGACGGGUGAGUAACACGUGAACAACCUACCCUCGAGUGGGGAAUAACACCGCGAAAGCGGUGCUAAUGCCGCAUAAUAUCUCCGGGUUGCAUGAUCUGGAGAUCAAAAGCGAAAGUUGCUUGAGGAGGGGUUCGCGCCUGAUUAGCUAGUUGGUGAGGUAACGGCCCACCAAGGCAACGAUCAGUAGCCGGCCUGAGAGGGCGAACGGCCACACUGGAACUGAGACACGGUCCAGACUCCUACGGGAGGCAGCAGUGGGGAAUUUUGCGCAAUGGGCGAAAGCCUGACGCAGCAACGCCGCGUGGAGGAUGAAGGCCUUCGGGUCGUAAACUCCUGUCAGUGGGGACGAAUGCCUCGCAAGAGGUUUGACUGUACCCGCUGAGGAAGCCACGGCUAACUCCGUGCCAGCAGCCGCGGUAAUACGGAGGUGGCAAGCGUUGUUCGGAAUUACUGGGCGUAAAGGGCGCGUAGGCGGCUUGGCAAGUCAGAUGUGAAAGCCCCGGGCUUAACUCGGGAAUUGCAUCUGAAACUGCUUUGCUUGAGUCCUGGAUGGGAUAGUGGAAUUCCCAGUGUAGCGGUGAAAUGCGUAGAUAUUGGGAGGAACACCUGCGGCGAAGGCGGCUAUCUGGACAGUGACUGACGCUGAGGCGCGAAAGCUAGGGGAGCGAACGGGAUUAGAUACCCCGGUAGUCCUAGCUGUAAACG
rnacentral:rRNA from 1 species